CGGAGGAAAAGUCGGUAAAACUCA
rnacentral:tRNA from 1 species